rnacentral:rRNA from 1 species
GACGAACGCUGGCGGCGUGCUUAACACAUGCAAGUCGAACGGUAAGGCCCUGCUUUUGUGGGGUGCUCGAGUGGCGAACGGGUGAGUAACACGUGAGUAACCUGCCCUUGACUUUGGGAUAACUUCAGGAAACUGGGGCUAAUACCGGAUAGGAGCUCCUGCUGCAUGGUGGGGGUUGGAAAGUUUCGGCGGUUGGGGAUGGACUCGCGGCUUAUCAGCUUGUUGGUGGGGUAGUGGCUUACCAAGGCUUUGACGGGUAGCCGGCCUGAGAGGGUGACCGGCCACAUUGGGACUGAGAUACGGCCCAGACUCCUACGGGAGGCAGCAGUGGGGAAUACUGCACAAUGGGCGGAAGCCUGAUGCAGCAACGCCGCGUGCGGGAUGACGGCCUUCGGGUUGUAAACCGCUUUCGCCUGUGACGAAGCGUGAGUGACGGUAAUGGGUAAAGAAGCACCGGCUAACUACGUG